rnacentral:lncRNA from 1 species
ACGAGGCGUUUGCAAACGCCGCAGCUGCCGCAGAAACAGGCGAAGGAGAAGGGGAACUCACCUGCAAGGCUUCCGCUAGGGUAAUAGAAUCCAACGAAUUAACAAGGUCGUUUAAAACAUCUUUAUAGUUAACCGAUCCAGCGGCUGCAGCAGAAGCGGCGCAACUCCUCAGCCGUGAGAAGGCAGCAGCUUUGUGAGCCGGAGAAAGAGGUGGAGAUGAGGAGGGAGAUCGAGAAAGAUGAGACAAGUUACCCAAAAGAGUACUCGUCGGAGAACCGCUACAAAACAAACAGCAAGGAUUCUGAUUCUUGGCAGGAGACGCAGAGGCUGAUGAGCCGCCGGAAUCAUUUUCCGGCGGAAGAACCCUAAGCUGACGUGGCGAAUGAGCGAAGAAACAUACUUUUCUCUUACAGUGUUUACCAUCUUUACAAGCCUCAGUACGGUAACGAAUAGGAUGGAGCCAACACUCAAAGACUCCAUGAGCAAACUCACAGUCAUCUCCACGGCUGCAAUCACCACCACGGCGAAACUCGGGACAAACCUCACCCGAGUAUUGAAACCUACGAGGGUCACGACGGCGAGCUUUCUCUCCGGGAUGAGCAAAGGGACAGUCAGUCCAGUCGUGGCUUCGGCUACGGGUACAACGUCGGAUCUUGAAUUCGAACAUACGGAAAUGAUCGCUCGCGUAAGGAUCAUCGGUGUCGGAAUCAUAACAAUACUCUUUAGUAUCUUUGUUGUUGUUGGUGUUGUCUUCGUUGAAGCUGUCCUCUCCUUGUUCAGAUGUAGAGAUCUUGUUGCUCUUGUUGUUCCAGUUAUGUUUACGCGGCGAAGAACGAGGGGAAGCCUCCCCUGAAAAAGACUUGGAGGACAAUAGAAGCUUCCGAGGUGGAAUCUCAACCGUUGGUCUCACGACGUCCAUGACUAAUAACAAGAAGACGAAGACUUGUUUUGUUUAUUCUUGUGUUAUAGUUUGAGAGAUGAGCGCAAGAUGAGAGAACAUGAUAUUGCAUGCGGUCUAUUUAUACGGGAGUUUGAGUAUGGAUACAGACACGAGAAUAAGUUAAAACAUAUAUAAAAAUAUUGUUAGUUUUAGCUUUUUUUAGAUUAUUACAUCUGUUUUAUGAAUGGUGAUGAGAUGUAAUAAGAAGACAAAAGUUGAAAGGAGAAGCGUGAUAUGGUAUGGGGAGAGGAGUCGUGGCAAGAGAAGAGAAGAGUAAGAGAGAGGUCUCAUGCAAAGAAGCAGGAGCUGCCUUUCUCUCCUUGCUUCAGACCUAACACAUGUGCUUAUGUUUUCAUCAUCAUAGUCACCUCUUCUCUCUCCCUUAUCAAUAUCCAUUAACUAUCUCUUCCUUUUUCGAUUUGUUUUCUUGUCAAAUUAAUAAAUAAGUAGAAAAACAACUUUUUCAUUACAAAAUUUAUUAAAUUUGUAAAUCAUACGAACCUAAAAGAUUAAUGUACAUGAUUCAAUAAUAUAUAUAGUGGCAUAUUUAAUUUUAUAUUAUACAAAUUUAGAGGGUUCAUAAUUUGCGUACAUCGAAUCUAACAAGACUUUGCAACACAGAAAGGAUAGGCACAAGAUAUAAUACAAGUCCAGCUACAAAAGAUGUUUCAGAAAAUACGUCUUUAUAUUUCAUACGCCAUUUAUCAUCGGGUUAUACAUGAAUUAAAUAAUACCAAUACUUGUAUUUCUCAAAGGGCAGGAUGCAUGUGUAUGUACAAGUGUCACGUUUUCGAUUGGUUGCGUGGCUGUGAUGGAAGCAAAUACAUUUUUGGUUUCUACCUUCAUGGUUUCAGCUCAUAUAUUAAUAUUUUCGAUGACUUUUACGUCCAAAGUUUAGAAUAAAUCAAGUUCGAAUAUGUAUUUUCUUUUGGAAUUGGAUAGAGAAACACGAUAAAAAGGCAACACAAACGAAGCGGUAAUUUACAUUAUUAAACAGUAAACGAUAAAUAUAAUAAACGGCAAAAAGAACAUUGUUUUUGUUAUUAUAUAGGCAUUAAUUUCUGGUUUUUGAGAUCAGUGAAAUGUUUUUGGACCGGUAUUCAUUUUGGCAUCAUUGUGACUCUAAUUUGGAGGUAUCGUCUAUGUCCUUACGUGCGUCAUUGUUCUACAAAUUCCAAAGCUUCUAAAUUUGGUGCUUAUUAGAGAAACAACCUUGUAAUUUGACGGCAAAAUAUGUUCAGUAAUCAUCUGAUGAAGAUUUAUUAUUGCAAUCGGUUCAGAGGGACCUUGAAGUACGUUUGCGCAUUUAGUGAAGAGAGACACUGAUUGCUGUAAUAGAAGACGUAUUCAAGGAACAAACUGAUCAGUAAAACAAAAUUUCAUUGGUGAUGAAACGACGUCGUUGAACAAGGGAAGAUAAGCAUCAAAACGACGCAGUUUCAAGGAUAUAGCCGUUAGAGAGAGGAGCCGAUGCAGAAAAAGAAAAAAAUCUUUAUUCAAAAUCUGACCGUUGUGACGGUACUCGUUCCUUUUUUAUUCACAUUCCCUCCGCAAAGAAGGAACCAAGAAAGAACAUCUCUCUCGCACUCUCUCUCUCCCCCUAGUUCUGCGAUUCGAUCUGGUAUAGGCAUGGAAGGAGCAACGGAGGAACCAAUCGGUAGUGCAGCGACGGCGAUCGUUGAUCAGACGUACGAGUUCUUGGCGCCGCGAUGGUUCGAUUUCGUUAACGGAGAGACGGAGGACGAGGCUCGCCGAGCUGAGCUCUGGUUUGCAUCGGCUCUUAGCUGCGCUCCUUCUCGUGAGUAUCUUCGUUUGAUCGCUAGAUCCCUAGGUUUCGGAAUCGUUGUUAGAUCUGGGGUUUGGAGUUCUGAUUUGAGUCUCAAUUAUGAUUAGGGUUUCUGAUUGAGAAUCGAAAUUAGGGAUUGCAAGUUGAAUCAAGAUAAUUUAUGUUCACAGUUGAAUUCAAGUUUUGUGUGUGUGUGUGUGUGUGUGCAGCAUCGGUUCCUAGAAUCAAAGCAAGGAGAUGUUUCAAGGUAGAGACAAUGUGUAACUUCAAUGAAGAAGCAGAUGAAGAAGAUAAACCAAUAAAGGUUUCGCCUCAAAUCAACAAUGAUUUAUAUCCAUUGCAAGCAGGAAACUUAUAAUUAAGAUUCAAUUUUGUUUGCAGGAUAAAGAACCGUCUGAACCAGUAGCUGCACCUAUUGCUUCACAACCGGAGACUGAUAUUACCUCUGAGGCUAAGAGAGAAGAAGUUGAUACUACUGAAGCAAGCACAACUAAGCCAUCUCUCAUCAGUUCCAAGGACGCAGCAGAUGCAAGGUUCUUUAUUUAUCUUUUUUUUUGAGAGUUUGUAAUGGCAUUUGAGUGAGAUGAGAGGCUGUUCUAAUAAUAUUUGUUCUUGUUCAUUCAACAGAAAUACCAGGGACAAAACGCCCAAGCAGAUAGAAAACAAGGAGAACAUUCCUCCUUCUAGGACAGAAGCUUGCACACCCAAACCACCACUGCAGUCAUCUCAUGGAGGAAAGUCAAUGGACCUUAAGAAGCAGCAAACUGCUAGAAAGAUAGCUAGUCUUUUGAGGAAUCCAUCUGCACUUAGGCCCAAAAAUCAGUCACAGUCGUCGUCUCAACUGAAAGGAACUAAUCAGAAAAGUGUGAAAAGGUACACUCUUCAUAAACAUUCCAUACCCGAAUCUGGUUUCACGUUCCUCUUGUAAUCGUUUUGUUAUGUGUUAUGAUGGCUCAUUGCAGGGUAACGAGUCCCAAGAACAUAGCUGGCACUACCAGUCUGAUUCAGGAUAACCAAGCCAUCAAAAAACAAAAGCUAGAUGAUGGAAAAUCAAGACAGGUGAGCCAAAAUUUUCAACAACAUCAAGCUUAACUUCAUAUCUCACUGCAUGACUGAAACUGUUACCUCCUCAUCAUUGUUUUUUUCUAGAUUCUAAAUCCAAAACCAACAACUCUGCUCCACAAGACAAGGCAAGGUCUCGUUAACACCGGUUUCAACGUAUGCCCUUCGGUCACUAGGCAAACUCCGAAGGAGAACAGAAAGGUACGUUCUGCUUCAUGGAUGCUUAUAUAAAGUUUUUUGACAGGCUCUGGUUCUCAACUCUUGUGUGUUCACUCUUUAGGUUUAUGUCCGUGAGCAAGUUGCACCUUUCAUGUCAACUGCUGAGCUGAUGAAAAAGUUCCAAACAAGCACGCGAGACAUGUCACUGCCUCAUGCCAACCCUUCUCUUCCACAGGUAAACUCUUGAUACUUAUUCCUUUUUAUUUUCUUGGAAUAUCUUCAAUUAACUUCCAGACCGCUGCUGCUUUCCUUGUGCAGAACCGAACUAAGUUGACACUGACAAGACCAAAGGAGCCCGAAUUUGUGACAUCCCAACGAGCUCGCCCUGUAAGAGUGAAGAGCAGUGCAGAGCUUGAGGAAGAGAUGUUGGCAAAGAUUCCCAAGUUUAAAGCUCGACCUGUGAACAAGAAGGUAAUGCAUCUGGUUUCACAGUGGUAUAUAUUUACCUCAUAAAUAGAAAUCUAAAACAAAACAAUGCAUUCUCUUUUUUUUUUGAUGCAGAUUUUGGCAGCUCCAGCUUUGCCUGCGCCUCAGAGAAGCACACCACAACUGCCAGAAUUUCAGGUAGAGACAGACAUUCAGAGAGUAUGAUCAUUUUAGAAACGAAUCUGUUAUUGAUCUACAAGAGGCUCAUAUCUUACUAUUUGCAGGAAUUCCAUCUUGAAACAAUGGCGAGGGCUAGCCAACAUGCAGAGACAUCUUCAAUUGCUUCAACAGAAGUGUCUAAGCAGGUAUGGAACUUAUUCUUUGGCUACAGAAAUGUUUUAUGUACUUGGUUUCAUGCCAUCUGAUAUGCCUCUGUUUUCUUUGCACCCAGCAUAAUGAUUGUAGGCCUCACCUUACUGCACCAAAGAGCCCCGUGCUCCAAACAAUGCUAAGAGCUCGUCCUACGAAAGCAAAAACAACUGCGGAACUUGAGCAAGAGGAACUAGAGAAGGCACCAAAAUUCAAAGCAAAACCUUUAAACAAAAAGGUACUACUAAACAAGUGAUAUAGAUAACUUACAUCUACUUUUUAUAUCUCGAUCUAACUUGUAAGCACAUGAACCCAUCCAGAUAUUUGAAAGUAAAGGAGAGAUGGGCAUCUUUUGCAACAUGAAGAAGCACAUAACCAUACCUCGGGGACCCAUGUGACGGCGCGUGAGGGAGUUUGUGGAAAUAAUGUUUCUGGCGUGUUAGCUCCAGCGGUUACUGGAUUUUUCUUAGAUCUCCCGCAUGCUACUGCGUCGAGAGAGGAGCUGGUUCGAGGUUUCCCAGUCCGGUUCGAGCCAAUGGAAAUGGGAUUGAGUAUCGGUCUGAGAACUACCGUGGAAGUCAAGAGGGAUGCCGCUGAUUAUAAGCUUGGAAGGGAUCUGAAUCUAGAACUUAGCUUAGCUCCAUCGAUGGACGUUUAGUCAUCUUUUUUUUGUACUAGAGCUUAAUUUUUAAUUUAACAAGAAUAUCCUUUUUAUAUUAAAGAAAAUUAUCCCUUUUCAGUUCGUCUUGAAGAAAUAUAUUUUUGUCAUUUCUUUAUUGUGGCUGUACUCCUUAUUGGUAGAUUUAUGUUUCUAUACUUAGGUGUUAUAUCAUUUGUUGUCAAUAUGUUUCUACUGUACUGAGGUUGGUCGAUUUUGGACUAGAGAUAAAAAAAAAACCAAAAGCAACAAAAAAACCUUAACUAUUUGUGACAUUUUAGUCUAGGCUUAAAAAGUUAAAAAAGUAAAAAAAAUGGUAAUUUGAAUUAUUUAAGAGGACCUACUUAAAGUCCUAACCAUUUGGGUCUUGACGAGGGAUGAGCAGAUGAGGUAUUGGUGUCAGGUGGGUGUUCACGUGUGCUUUUCGCCGUCCACAAGACACGUAGUAGAAUAACAAAAGUUUUCUUAUUCCUUCCCUUGUCUAAAAAGUCUUCACGCCUCUCUCAUCGUGGCGGUACUCAGUUAAUGAAUCAUGGCGAUACGUAGUUGUGGAUUUAUACUUUAUUCUCUCUUCCCCAUUGUUAAUAAGGAGGACUAUAAUCCACAGCUGGAGUAUUUACAUGUUUGUAAAUCCCAAACAUGCAUGAAUGUAUCUCAUACUAUAUAGUGUUAAUGGACACGUCUCAUUGUGAACAUCUGUCGACCACAACACAUGCCUCCUAUAUAUGAAAACUAAUUGGUUUCGCGAGGUGUCCAAAAUAAAACUUAUCAGUCUUUUAUACGAUAAAGUAUAUGACCAAAUCGUCAAUAAUUUCCUUCUGGAAUACAACUAUAUUCUAGUCGACAAACACAGCCAAAAAAAACAUAACACGUUUCAACGUGAGAGAUUUUGAAUAAUUUGAGAAUAGCGCAAAUGAAUCUGAUUAUACAUGUGAUCGUUACUCAUGGACAAACACGUUUUGGAAUUAGAUGGAACACUUUCAAGAAUGAUAUACCAUUGUUUUCUUCAAAAGAACGGGUAUAAUAUUCGUAUAUAUCCACUUUCUAACUCUGUUUGAUUCUAACUAAGCCUAAGCAUGGCCUGUUCAAUUAUAUAUAGCUUUUAUACGUACGUCCUUAUUCGCGUCCUGAACAUCCUGCAGUUUAUUUCCUUCCUAAUAUAUCAUCUAUUAUCAAAAUCCAUAAUGAUGGGAAAAUCCAUGGACCGACCCCAUCCUGGUAAAUAGUCCGAAUCCAGUGUUAACGAUGUGACGGAAAGAAAUAUACACCGAAGCGAAAAUAUUCAUAGAAAUAGUGAAACAUUAUACAAUCCGAGUCCACAUGAUACAAGUUCAAACAUAUUAUUGGGUAAAAUCCAACCAAAAAGAUAUAAUUCUAGAAACAAAGACAAUACAGACGAUUCUUAAUUAGCUCUCCUGGAGAUCCGUAGAACAAUAAAAUCUCGAAAACAAAUUUCAACAACAAUCCCUCCAUGCAUACUGAGGGAACCGUUGACACUGAUCAUUUUUCCCCAUGAUUCAUGAACGUAAAUUAAUCUCCACCAGAAUAUACAUUCGUGGAUCUAUCAAGUCAAGAGAUCAUUCACCCAUCCAAUAUCAGGGUCGCCACAAGAACCAUCCUCAAACCUAGUCUUGUCCCUAACCGCCGCAGGUGUAAACUCAUUCACUUCUCGCUGGCGAGGAGUGUAAUCAUCGCUGAAGAAGCUUGCCCUAGGUGAGUUGGCUAGGUAACUUGGAGUGGAAGGCGAGAGGGCGAAUUGUAACGGACUGCUUUGUUGCUGUUGUUGGAUAUGGAGACGCUGAGUGCUCAAACCGCAGGACGAGGCGUUUGCAAACGCCGCAGCUGCCGCAGAAACAGGCGAAGGAGAAGGGGAACUCACCUGCAAGGCUUCCGCUAGGGUAAUAGAAUCCAACGAAUUAACAAGGUCGUUUAAAACAUCUUUAUAGUUAACCGAUCCUGCGGCUGCAGCAGAAGCGGCGCAACUCCUCAGCCGUGAGAAGGCAGCAGCUUUGUGAGCCGGAGAAAGAGGUGGAGAUGAGGAGGGAGAUCGAGAAAGAUGAGACAAGUUACCCAAAAGAGUACUCGUCGGAGAACCGCUACAAAACAAACAGCAAGGAUUCUGAUUCUUGGCAGGAGACGCAGAGGCUGAUG